rnacentral:rRNA from 1 species
UUCCAGACUCCUACGGGAGGCAGCAGUGAGGAAUAUUGGUCAAUGGGUGAGAGCCUGAACCAGCCAAGUCGCGUGAGGGAAGACGGUCCUAUGGAUUGUAAACCUCUUUUGCCGGGGAGCAAAAAGCGGUACGUGUACCGCAUCGAGAGUACCCGGAGAAAAAGCAUCGGCUAACUCCGUGCCAGCAGCCGCGGUAAUACGGAGGAUGCGAGCGUUAUCCGGAUUUAUUGGGUUUAAAGGGUGCGCAGGCGGCGAGUUAAGUCAGGGGUAAAUUUGCGGGGCCCAACCCCGACAAGCCGUUGAAACUGGCGGGCUGGAGUUGGAGAGAAGUACGCGGAAUGCGCGGUGUAGCGGUGAAAUGCUUAGAUAUCGCGCAGAACCCCGAUUGCGAAGGCAGCGUACCGGCUCCACACUGACGCUGAGGCACGAAAGCGUGGGUAUCGAACAGGAUUAGAUACCCGAGUA